UAGGGAAUCUUCGGCAAUGGGGGGAACCCUGACCGAGCAACGCCGCGUGAGUGAAGAAGGUCUUCGGAUCGUAAAGCUCUGUUGUUAAGGAAGAACGAGUGCGAGAAUGGAAAGUUCAUGCUGUGACGGUACUUAACCAGAAAGGGACGGCUAACUACGUGCCAGCAGCCGCGGUAAUACGUAGGUCCCGAGCGUUGUCCGGAUUUAUUGGGCGUAAAGCGAGCGCAGGCGGUUAGAAAAGUCUGAAGUGAAAGGCGGUGGCUCAACCAUUGUAGGCUUUGGAAACUGUUUAACUUGAGUGCAGAAGGGGAGGGUGGAAUUCCAUGUGUAGCGGUGAAAUGCGUAGAUAUAUGGAGGAACACCGGUGGCGAAGGCGGCUCUCUGGUCUGUAACUGACGCUGAGGCUCGAAGGCGUGGGGAGCGAACAGG
rnacentral:rRNA from 1 species